ACCAAAAGAUGGGAACAAAAAUGGAAAGGAGCAAUCUUUGGCUUGUUGGAGACACCCUCACUCCGUUUUCAGUGUCUGUUUAAUAAGGAGCAGAGCGGAGCCUGUUGAAUAAGCAACAAAGUAGCUCAGUAGGCAGUAGACUGGCUGCCUGCCGAGCGUGUGUGUUGGCCUGGGUCAGCUCCAUCCCUCGAACCAAAAGCAGAGAUCACUGGAGAAGUGUUGCCACCGAGCAGCCAUAGGACUGGCCCUGCUUCCUUCCAUGCCUGUGAAGCCUGUAGGACUCUCCACAAAAGCUGCAGUUGCCGGGAAUCAGGCAUAGCCCAGGCUGACGAAGCACCUCAGGACAUUUGCCUAGCCUGUGCGUAGCUUGGGCUUGAAGGAAUAACAGGAAAUGUUCACAGUGCUUGGCUUGUGUCCGUAUUUCUUGGCCAUUGUUCCCAAUAAUGACUUAUUUUGCAAGGCCUCCCGCAUGCCUCUAUGUAAAUAAAGAUGCUUUAGAAUAAAGUGAGCAGAAACAAGGC
rnacentral:lncRNA from 1 species